rnacentral:sRNA from 2 species
AUUCAUGCUUUCUAGGGUUCCGCGGGUAAAUCAAAUCCGGCCUGGUCCGAGAGAAGGCACACAGAUAAAUGCUGUGACACGGAGGGAUAAAAGCCCGGGAGAU